rnacentral:SRP_RNA from 1 species
GCCUGGCAUAGUGGUGUAUGCCUGUAGUUCCAGCUACUCACUUGGGAGUCUGGGCAGGAGGAUUGCUUGAGCCCAGGAGUUCUAGGCUAUAGGGUGCUAUGCCGAUUAGGGAUCUGCACUAAGUUUGGGAUAAAUAUGAUGGCCACCUGGGAGCAAGGGACCACCAGGUUGCCUAAUGUGGAGUGAACCCACCCAGGCUGAAAUGGAGCAGGUCAAAAUUCCCAUGCUGAUCAGGUGAGCUAUGGCAUCUGUGAAUAGCUAUGGGUUUCCAGCCUGGGCAACAUAGAAAGAUCCUAUCUCU